rnacentral:rRNA from 1 species
CUUACCAGGUCCAGACAUUUGAAGGAUUGACAGAUUGAUAGCUCUUUCAUGAUUAAAUGGGGUGGUGGUGCAUGGCCGUUCUUAGUUGGUGGAGUGAUUUUGUCUGGUUAAUUCCGAUAACGAACGAGACCUUUACCAGCUAAAAUAGUGAUUAUUAUGAUUUAUCAUAGUAAGAUUUACUUCUUAGAGGGACUAUUGGUUUUUAAACCAAAGGAAGUGAAGGCGAUAACAGGUCUGUGAUGCCCUUAGAUGUUCUGGGCUGCACGCGCGCUACAAUGAUCAACUCAUCAAGUUAUUUUAACUUGUUUAAAAUUUACUUUUCCUGUAGGAAUGGUUAAUCUUCAACGUUGAUCGUGCUUGGGAUAGAUAAUUGUAAUUAUUUAUCUUGAACAAGGAAUUCCUAGUAAUCGUAAAUUCAUCAGAUUGCGAUGAUUACGUCCCUGCCCCUUGUACAC